AAAAGCUACUUUCGCAUGAAAGAGUUUAAAAAGGACGGCGUAAGCUGUCGCUAAAGGAUGGACCUGCGAUGCAUUAGCUAGUUGGUAAGGGUAACGGGCUUACCAAGGCGAUGAUGCAUAGCCCGAGUUGAGAGACUGAUCGGGCCACGUUGGGGACUGAGACACGGGCCCAAACUCCUACGGGAGGCAGCAGUAGGGAAUCUUCCACAAUGGACGAAAGUCUGAUGGAGCAAACGCCGCGUGAGUGAAGAAGGUUUUCGGAUCGUAAAGCUCUGUUGUUGGUGAAGAAGGAUAGAGGUAGUAACUGGCCCUUUAUUUGACGGUAAUCAACCAGAAAGUCACGGGCUAACUACGUGCCAGCAGCCGCGGUAAAU
rnacentral:rRNA from 1 species